ACCAGACUCGGGAGGCAGCAGUGGGGAAUAUUGCACAAUGGGGGAAACCCUGAUGCAGCGACGCCGCGUGAGCGAAGAAGUACCUCGGUAUGUAAAGCUCUAUCAGCAGGGAAGAAAGUGACAGUACCUGACUAAGAAGCCCCGGCUAACUACGUGCCAGCAGCCGCGGUAAUACGUAGGGGGCAAGCGUUAUCCGGAUUCACUGGGCGUAAAGGGAGCGCAGGCGGCGCGGCAAGUCUGAUGUGAAAGCCCGGGGCUCAACCCCGGGGCUGCAUUGGAAACUGUCGAGCUAGAGUGUCGGAGGGGUAAGCGGAAUUCCUAGUGUAGCGGUGAAAUGCGUAGAUAUUAGGAGGAACACCAGUGGCGAAGGGGGCGUACUGGACGAUGACUGACGCUGAGGCUCGAAAGCGUGGGGAGCAAACAGGAUUAGAUACCCGCGUAAUC
rnacentral:rRNA from 1 species